AAGUGUUUGACAGAGCUGCACUGAGCUUAGCAGCUUCCCCUGACUUCUCACAUAAGAACAGCAAAUAUUUCAGGCCCUGACCUUUCUACAAAGAUUAACAAAUGAUCUCUCUGCUAUGGUGUCCUGCAGCACUGUGAGAUGGUGACAUGGUAUACCUCAUCCCAAACCAUGCAGCAUAUGAAGCACUUUCAUGGGAUGCAGGGUGACAUUUUCUUCAGAAGUCACUGCAGUGCCUGUCUCUUAUUUUGAUGUGCUGUGCAGCUGGCAAGCUUUGUUACUGAUAUUUCACACAACUCUGGCAGACUAUUUAUCUGCGUGCCCUCUGCUGCUCCAGAGUCACCCUGAUGAAAAGUCACCUGUGGGCUGAGCUGCUGGUUGGAUGCCAGGCCCUGCCCUGUGUGAUUCCAGCUCAAAAACCUGCCACGGUCCUGCUGGCUAAGCAGUCACGGCUCGUGCUUCAGUGUGGUGCUCUGCUUGGGUCUUAUAUUUCAUUUGGACCUGCUCAGUUUUUAAGUCUCUCUGAAGCACAGAUGCUGCAGGGCUGGACCCCUGUGUGGGUGAUCAAACAAACAUACACACAGAUGUAUGUAUCCAGUCCCAUACUCUGUUCAGAUCCCCACUUUGCAGUUAAACUGUUCCUUACAGACAUGGUUCAGCGAUGCACGCUGCUUUUCCACAUCACCUGCUCUCAUGGAAUAUCUUGUGGCAUGUGACAAAAAGAAAAACACCUUCUUACUCUGUAUUUGCCCCCUGCCUUCAGUUAUACGUUGAAUUUAUAGGCAUCAGCUGUAUUAGUAAACUCAAGAGUGCCUGACAAUUUUCCUGGAACUGGAUUCUCUGUGCUUGUAUGUCUUAGGACAGUCCCAAUAAAGAAUUUGAUGUGCUUAUGAUAUUCCCUGAACAUUUCAUAGACUUGGCCAGAAAAUAUUGGCACAACUAAAGGCAGAUUGCUUGCAACCUGCUUGGUUUGAAGAGUGACAGUUUAUUAAUAGACCUGAGCUGGACUGUGACAAUUGUUCUCAGCUCCUGUAGGUGUGAGUCACAUGUUCUGGAGCUGACAUGGCACUUCUGUUAGAUGGCUGCAGCAUCCUGCUUAUUUUACAGCACCAUCAACCCCGAUCCAUGUGUGUGGGCAAUACCCAUGUGACUCAGGAACACAAAACUUAUUCAACAAAGUGGUCCUUCAGUGUUCUGUGGGCAUCUGGCAGCUCCCUUCCACUCCUGCUGAAACCCUAAGUACUAUCAAGCGAAGAGCAGAAACUCCUCUUCCUGCAUUUCCCACCAGUUUAUUAUUCUCCUCUGGCUUGUGGAGAGUCCUCAAGGUUAACACCUGGAAAGUCCUGUGUUCAGAAGAGAACAGGCAGUGAUGUGCUCCCUGGUAAUCUGUUGAAAUUAUUGGCCUGCCUGUAUCCAGAACCAGCAUUUUUUGCUCAAGGCUCUGAUCAGCCAUGUGCUCAGCAUCCUCCCUGUGUCAUCAUCUUGGGAAAUAUGCUCCGACACAGUAAGUAAGGGUAAAUUGUAAAAUUGCCUUGCCAAAGAAGGGCAACAGAGCUGGAGAAGGGUCUGGGGCACAAGUCUACUGAGGAGCAGCUGGGGGAGCUGGGGACGAUUAUUCUGGAGAAAAGGAGGCUCAAGGGGGACAUUAUCACUCUCUACAACUGCCUGAAAGGAAGCUGUAAACAGGUGGAGGUUGGUCUCCUCUCCCAGGUAAAAAGUGUCAGAACAAGGCAAAAUGGCCUCGAUCUGCACUGUGGGAGGUUUUUAUGUGUGUCAUAUAAACUGUAAAUCACCUCAGCUCAGAAAAGUUGUACCUAAAUUUGGAUUCUAUAUAUGUUUACUUAUUCACUUCAAUAAUGAAAAAUGUGUUGUAAAUAUUUCUAAAUACAUGAUUUUGAACAAAACUAUUGCACACACAGUAUCCUGUGAAACAAAUCUCAGAAUUCCCUAACACAUGUGUACUUAUUGACAGACAAUAAUAAACCAAUAAUCUUUUUGGUUUUUGAUGAACAUUAAAUAGAAUUCACACCCCUUACAUGGAAAAUACACGCAUGUAUGAGAUUAACAUAAAUUAUUCAAUAACAGAAUGUAAAUUUCCCUCUCUCUUUCUUUAAUUCAUCCUUCCAUUCUCUCUUCCUUUUCACCCUAGCCCUUUAUCCAAAACAUACUGUUUUGUGCUUGUAGCAGGCCAGGGACUAACAUACCAAUUUCCAUGCCAAGUGUGUAACUUACUGAUAAAAGAGAGGUUUUGCAGUUUUUGUGUAUAUGUACUAUUUUAUUGCUCUCUUUAUGUUAUGUAUACUCUUUAUUUAUAAAUAUUUAAAUCAUUAAUGGUUAAUAAAACUAUUCUGUCACUGCUGUUACCAUCUUGAAAUGUAUAUUUUGACAUGAGUUGCAACUGUCUGCAGAUGCCAGCAGUGUACAAGCUGACACCUGGACAAGUCACCUUCAGUCAUUUUUAUAGACAAUAAAAAAUAAUAGACCCUUCCACAGUUCAGUUUUCUCUCAUAUUUGAAGCAUGCAGUGCAGAGUUCUCAUCUUUUGCUGCCAAAAGCCUUCAGCAAGGAAACUAAAACCUUUUUGUCUCACUUACACU